rnacentral:lncRNA from 1 species
UGGCCCACGUUCAUUUGGAAGGGCUAUAUAAGCAGGCUUCCUGGCCCCUGGAGAGGAUAUCUCUUCUACAGAAUCAGAGCUAGGGUUUCAACUAUUCAUCCAAGUAGAGAGGAUCCCUCUAGUUCAUCUAGUUCUAGUUCUAGUUCAUCUAGUUCUAGUUCUAGUUCUAGUUAGUUCUAGUUGUAAUCUAGAAAAUAGGGAGAGAGAAGAGGAGAGCGGAGGAGGAGCCGGAUCUGUCGGAUCUUCCUCAACAUUAUACUUUUGCAGCAACUGAUUCGUUCUUCAUCGUUCUCCAAGUUCUUCAAUUCAUAAUUCCUGAGUUCUUUAAUUACUUUUUAUGUACAUUCAAGUUAUUUAUUGGAUUCUCGCUUGCAUCAAGUGCUCUAGUCUUUGCAAUGCUAGAGUAGUAAUUAAUUGAUUAGACGUGGUGUUUAGUCUUGCAAUUACCUGGAAUUGCACCCAAUCCUGCGGAUUGUUGUGGUAACCCUAGGGUAGUGACAGCCCUAACGGUCGACGUAUUCCACCUCGUUCGGAUCGGUGUUUGUACGACCAUAGUCAGAGAUUCCUAGCCCCCUUCUCAUAUCUUUCUGUGGUUAGUGUUCUAAUGUCCCGAAAUAAAUAAUCUUUGAAGUAAUUCUUGAUUCUUAGAUCAACUAGAGAACUCUCUGGAAACUUCCUCUCUUCCCACCAAAAAUAAUUAUAUAGUUAUCCUUGGGCGAUCUUGAAUCUUAAUUAAUACACUCACGUUCCCUGUGGAAAAUCAAUACUCUGGAAUACUCCCGGGUGAGAGCAACAUCGGUAUCCGUGCGCUUGUAGAUUUUUCUGUUUGCGUUUAAAAUACCCAACAAGCUCUCUGGCGCCGUUGCCGGGGAACGGUAGCUGUGCUAGUAUAGAACAAAGUCGUCUGUGUAUCCUUUUUAUUUUCCUUUUUUUACCACACUCACCUUACCAUUUUCACCAUACCACAUGGAUUUCACUCCUAUAUAUAAAUUCUUUGCUCCAAAGGGUGAGUUAUUAGAGCCACCACCAUCAUCACAUCCAAUUCUUACAGAUGGCUACGACCUCGGCCCUGAUCUAAUAGCCAUGAUUCAGGAGCAACCUGUUACAGAACCGUCCAAUUUAUAAGAAUUCAAGUGAAUUAGCGACCACGAGAGCAGUCAAGCCAAUGGACUUGAACCCAUAUAAACCAGAAAGUCCGACGAAAUCUCAAAAGACCUCGAUUCAACCAACAUACAACCAAGAUCGUACAUGAUCAAGCAUCGCCAUCAUAGAUUACAUACAUUCACCAUAAAAUAUAGUUUUACAACACAUCGGAGUUUAAACAAAGUUAUUACAAACCAGUUCAGUAGCGGAAGCAAGUAGUUUUGAACCACACACACACUUGGUUUAAUUACAUGCCAGAUUCAUAGUCAACCCAACAAAAGCAUAACCGAAGGUAAUAGAAGUGAUCAUGCCCAUGAUCUACUCAUCGUCCGCAGCCGGAUGAUGAUAGGU